GCGAGAGUGGCGAAACUGGUAGACGCACCAGAUUUAGGUUCUGGCGCCGUUCGGCAUGGGGGUUCGAGUCCCCCCUCUCGCA
rnacentral:tRNA from 1 species